GACGAACGCUGGCGGCGUGCUUAACACAUGCAAGUCGAACGGAAAGGCCCUGCUUUUGUGGGGUGCUCGAGUGGCGAACGGGUGAGUAACACGUGAGUAACCUGCCCUUGACUUUGGGUUAACUUCAGGAAACUGGGGCUAAUACCGGAUAGGAGCUCCUGCUGCAUGGUGGGGGUUGGAAAGUUUCGGCGGUUGGGGAUGGACUCGCGGCUUAUCAGCUUGUUGGUGGGGUAGUGGCUUACCAAGGCUUUGACGGGUAGCCGGCCUGAGAGGGUGACCGGCCACAUUGGGAAUGAGAUACGGCCCAGACUCCUACGGGAGGCAGCAGUGGGGAAUAUUGCACAAUGGGCGGAAGCCUGGUGCAGCAACGCCGCGUGCGGGAUGACGGCCUUCGGGUUGUAAACCGCUUUCGCCUGUGACGAAGCGUGAGUGACGGUAAUGGGUAAAGAAGCACCGGCUAACUACGUG
rnacentral:rRNA from 1 species